AUGAAGCGGUGGGGCGCCAACUUGGGUCGCGACCUCCGCGAGCGGAAGAAGGCCCUUCUGUCUGCUAUUCAGGCCCUCGACCUGCGCGCCGACGCCUCCGGCCUUUCUCCUGAGGAGUGGCUUUCCCGGUACGACCUGGAAGACCAACUCUUGGUCAUCUACUCCCAUGAGGAGGCAUACUGGCAUGUGCACGGGGCUCAGAAAUGGGUUCUGAAAGGUGACGCCAACACGGCGUACUUUCAGGCCAUAGCGAAUGGUUGGCGCAGGCGCAACACCAUCCCCCUUCUCUAGGAUGGGCCGACUCUAUUGCAGUCCCCGCGGGACAUUAGGGCCCACGUUGACGGCUUCUAUAGGUAUCUGUUCGCAGCCACUCCUCGGAGCGGCUUAUCCCUGGCCCUGGACUGUUGGUCCGGCCGCCAGCUUGUCUCGGAUGAGGAGAACGGGGCCCUCACGGCCCCCCUUCUCUGUGGACGAGGUUUGGGCCGCCAUCAAAGGCAUGAACCCUACCUCGGCCCCGGGACCGGAUGGCCUGCCAGUUAA
rnacentral:rRNA from 1 species